rnacentral:lncRNA from 1 species
GUAGGGGUAAUAAUAUGCUGAAGGCUUGCUGUAUUGGGUACAGAUGGUAAUAUGUAGGCUAAUAUGCUGAAGGCUAGCUGUAUUGGGUACAGAUGAUAAUAUGUAGGGGUAAUAAUAUGUUGAAGGCUAGCUGUAUUGGGUACAGAUGAUAAUAUGUAGGCUAUAAUAAUAUGCUGAAGGCUAGCUGUAUUGGGUACAGAUGGUAAUAUGUAGGGGUAAUAAUAUGCUGAAGGCUAGCUGUAUUGGGUACAGAUGAUAAUAUGUAGGGGUAAUAAUAUGCUGAAGGCUAGCUGUAUUGGGUACAGAUGAUAAUAUGUAGGGGUAAUAAUAUGCUGAAGGCUAGCUGUAUUGGGUACAGAUGAUAAUAUGUAGGGGUAAUAAUAUGUUGAAGGCUAGCUGUAUUGGGUACAGAUGAUAAUAUGGGUAAUAAUAUGCUGAAGGCUAGCUGUAUUGGGUACAGAUGAUAAUAUGUAGGGGUAAUAAUAUGCUGAAGGCUA